GUUUACCUCCCAGAAAUCACUAUUGGAGCUCAUCAGGGUAGCCGGAUCUACGACAGCUUCAGAGAGGCAGCGUAAAGUCACAGACUGUGUUGAGUCCUGUUUGCUCAAUCCUCCGGUGAGCUGUUGUGAUAAUGUGUCUUAAUUCUCUGUACAUUUUAAGUCCCUCAAGUCCUUCUAAGGACUGUGAGACAGAGGUGAUCAAGGUAGGGAAGCCCCUAACACUUGCCUGCUGCGGUUCACUCUUUUUGUGACUCCACUUCUGCUUAGGACCAUUCCCAGGAAGACUUUGCUGCAACAAAUUAAAGUGACUUGUAUUUG
rnacentral:lncRNA from 1 species